ACAUUCUUCCAUUGCAAAUCUACCAUUCCAGUGUUUUACUUGCUAUAUUGUAUUUACUUUGCCACCAUGGCCUUUUUUUGCCUUUACCUCCCUUAUCUCACCUCAUUUGCUCACAUCGUAUAUAGACUUGUUUAUACUGUAUUAUUGACUGUAUGUUUGUUUUACUCCAUGUGUAACUCUGUGUCGUUGUAUGUGUCGAACUGCUUUGCUUUAUCCUGGCCAGGUCGCAAUUGUAAAUGAGAACUUGUUCUCAACUUGCCUACCUGGUUAAAUAAAGGUGAAAUAAAAUAAAUAAAUGAAACCCUGACACAUGGCCAGAUGACCAGGCCAGCCUUCUCCCCUUUGGCGACAAUGGUGUGGCAGACCUGAUGAGACAUUUCAAGGAGCCUCUAGAAAGAUUGGGGUGCAAUAUAGCUGCAAUCCAGGAUGAGUGGAAGGGGCUGAAAAUCCUGGUCAGCCACAAUUUCAAGGACAAGUCUUAGUGGCCUGUGGGAGACCGUGUUGACAAAGGACCACUACAGGCACGAUUGCAAGAACAUACUGGAGUUGGUGCAGCUUAUGCUGGAGUUGGUGCAGCUUAUGCUGGUGCUGCCCAUUUCAGCCGCCCAGUGUGAGCGAGGCUUCUCUGCGCACAACCAGAUUAAGAAUUCCACAAGAAGCUGCCUUGGGGUCUCCACCACCGAAACCCUGAUGAGGAUCAGCCUGGAGGGGCCUUCUGUUGAGUUUGAUCCCACUCCUGCCGUGGACCGCUGGCUGUACGAGUCAACAUGGUCAUUUUAUCUAAAAACAUGAUUAUUGAUAGAAGGGAAAAGGUCUCUCUGGGCUAGGGAAGGUGUUGGAUUUGAGAUGUUUAACUCAUUUAAUUGUGUUCCAAAUUAACAAAACGAUUCCAUGCCAGAAAGGUCGCCUCACAGUAGUUCAAUUCCAUCAAGGCUGACUCUGUCCACCAUGUUGGUGAGGAUAAAUUUCUUUAUUAAUCUAACAUGCCAGCACCAAAGGACACAAUUAACUGUGGAAUAGUGUUCUCUCUUUAUUCAUUAGCAUCAAACACCUCUCUAAUGGUUCGUAAUAAAUGAAUCAGCAAACCAGUAUGUUCCGUUAGCCCUGCCAUGCAUGCAUCAAAACAUCAAUAAAAAUGUUUAAAAU